rnacentral:hammerhead_ribozyme from 1 species
GCACUGCUGACGAGUCCCGAAAAGGACGAAACAGAUUGUCCAGUGC